GUUAUUUUUAGUUGUAAUUUAUUUUUUAUUGUCUAUUUAUCAAAACUUAUUUAACCCUAUUUUAAAAAUGGACUAGUCAUGAUUGUUAGUUCAUACCUGGCAUCUUGAUAGCAAAUCAUUUCAACUUUAAUUAAACCAGGAUUUUUAUGAUGCUGGGAAUCAGUUAACUGAAACUGCAGAACGAUCGUCAACAUUGAAAGGCUUCGAUUACCGGUUAGCUGAGCUGCAAUAUGGGAGAUCAAGUCUUGGACAUCGAUUUGGUUGUCAAGAUACUGAGGCGGCAAAAAGAGCUUAGGCUUUCCUCUAACAUAAGCAGAAAAUACGAUGAACGCCUCGACUUCACGCAACCGGAUGUGCUAUGCGAAUUACAGAAAAUAUUUACAAGCUUUGAAUUAUGCAGUUGGUGAACUUAAACCUAAAUUUUAACCGUGUGGUUACCAGUGGCGUAUACAGGAUUAAGGAAGGGAGUGCUGAAUCAAAGGAGGGUGCACACCACUGUCACAAGCUCUGUUUGUGUUUUUCAACCAAUGAAAUGACUACGAGUACAACUUGUUGCAAUUCACACCAGAUUAUCCAUUUAAUCGUCGAAGUUUUAAGAAUUUUGAGACUUAUAGAUACCCAAAAAGAGCACUUGAAUAGUACAAAAUCUACGAUAUCCACCUGAGCCCCACUAUGGUUGUGAGGCGCAGAUGAGUAAAUUUUAAGAAAUUGAGAUUUUUUAGAUGCCCGAAAACGGCACUUGGAUAUGCCUAUUUAAAAUUUUUCAAAAACUACUAUCCACCCCAGCUCGUGGUUGAGGCUGAGGUAAGACAAUUAUAAGAAUUUGAGGCUUUUAGAUGCCGGAAAAUUGCACUUUAGUACCAAAAAAAAAAUAAAAAAAAAAAAAAA